rnacentral:rRNA from 1 species
UACGGGGGGGGCAAGCGUUGUCCGGAAUUAUUGGGCGUAAAGAGCUCGUAGGUGGUUUGUCGCGUUGUUCGUGAAAACCGGGGGCUUAACCCUCGGCGUGCGGGCGAUACGGGCAGACUGGAGUACUGCAGGGGAGACUGGAAUUCCUGGUGUAGCGGUGGAAUGCGCAGAUAUCAGGAGGAACACCGGUGGCGAAGGCGGGUCUCUGGGCAGUAACUGACGCUGAGGAGCGAAAGCGUGGGGAGCGAACAGG